rnacentral:misc_RNA from 1 species
GAUGAAGAACGUAGCAAAAUGCGAUAAGUAAUGUGAAUUGCAGAAUUCAGUGAAUCAUCGAAUCUUUGAACGCACAUUGCGCCCGCCAGUAUUCUGGCGGGCAUGCCUGUUCGAGCGUCAUUUCAACCCUCAAGCUCAACUUGGUGUUGGGACUCGCGGUAACCCGCGUUCCCCAAAUCGAUUGGCGGUCACGUCGAGCUUCCAUAGCGUAGUAAUCAUACACCUCGUUACUGGUAAUCGUCGCGGCCACGCCGUUAAACCCCAACUUCUGAAUGUUGACCUCGGAUCAGGUAGGAAUACCAGCUGAACUUAAGCAUAUCAAUAAGCGGAGGA